UGGGGAAUAUUGCACAAUGGGCGCAAGCCUGAUGCAGCCAUGCCGCGUGUAUGAAGAAGGCCUUCGGGUUGUAAAGUACUUUCAGUCGGGAGGAAGGUGGUAAGGUUAAUAACCUUAUCAAUUGACGUUACCGACAGAAGAAGCACCGGCUAACUCCGUGCCAGCAGCCGCGGUAAUACGGAGGGUGCAAGCGUUAAUCGGAAUUACUGGGCGUAAAGCGCACGCAGGCGGUUGAUUGAGUCAGAUGUGAAAUCCCCGGGCUUAACCCGGGAAUUGCAUCUGAUACUGGUCAGCUAGAGUCUUGUAGAGGGGGGUAGAAUUCCAUGUGUAGCGGUGAAAUGCGUAUAGAUGUGGAGGAAUACCGGUGGCGAAGGCGGCCCCCUGGACAAAGACUGACGCUCAGGUGCGAAAGCGUGGGGAGCAAACAGG
rnacentral:rRNA from 1 species